GGUGAACGCUGGCGGCGUGCUUGACACAUGCAAGUCGAACGGUAUGUGGCAACACAUAGAGUGGCGAACGGGUGAGUAACACGUGGGAACGUAUCUUUUGCAGGGGGAUAACUGACCGAAAGGACAGCUAAUACCGCAUAAGUCCGGGAGGAGAAAGGUGCAACAGCAUCGGCAGAAGAGCGGCCCGCGGUCCAUCAGCUAGUUGGUGAGGUAAGGGCUUACCAAGGCGACGACGGAUAGCCGGCGUGAGAGCGUGGCCGGCCACAAGGACACUGAGAUACGGGUCCUACUCCUACGGGAGGCAGCAGUGCGGAAUUUUAGAUAAUGGAGGGAACUCUGAUCUAGCGACGCCGCGUGCAGGAAGAAGGUCUUCGGAUUGUAAACUGCUGUGGUAAGGGAAAAUGCUAUGUAGAGUGGAAAGCUACAUAGAGGGAUGGACCUUACUAGAAAGCCCCGGCUAACUACGUG
rnacentral:rRNA from 1 species